rnacentral:lncRNA from 1 species
CUUCUCUCAAGAAUACGAUUCUGCGUAUUCUACAAUCGUCUCGCAUUUCUCUCGUUUCCCACUCUCCACAAAUCUUGCAACCUGCCUACGACGAGAUGGAUCGAUUGCAGAAAGUUCUGCUCAAAUUGGACGAGACCAGCUGCAGCAAGAUCAGGACGAAGGUGAAUGCUUUGGAUGAACUCAUAAAAGAGGCAGUUUGGGAAUUCGAAGAUUUACUCGAAUCCCAUAUCUUACCUCAGAUUCUUCCACAACUCGAAAGCGAGAGAGACAACUUGUCUUUCUCUGUAGAUCUGCAGAGUCUGCAACACCAUGUUGAUUGCUUCGUCGAGAUGGUGAAGAUGAUGGAGGAAGAGUACACAAUGAAAUGGAGAAUAUGGCUGAAGAAGAAGGCGACCUAUUUCCUCAAGAAUUGAUUCUGGUGGAAUGAUCAAUCAAGAUGGUUGGAAUCUAUGAUUAAAAAGCCAGAGAAUCUUCUUAAGAAAACUAUUCGUUUUGGGAUGGCGGGUUGGAAAGACAACUCUUGCUAACAUAUAUUUGAAGAUCCAACAAUUCGGAGCCAUUUUGAGUUUCGAGCAUGGGUCAAAGUGGGCAGAAAAUGCGAACCCAAUGAACUAUUACGCUGCGUUCUAGCUCAAGUGGAUCCCAACACUUACCGAAUGCUUGCCCAAGGAGAUGAUGAUGAUGAGGAAUUAGUUGGAUUAUUGAAAGAAAAAUUGCAGGAUAAGAAAUGCCUCGUCAUUUUGGAUGAUGUUUGGGGGGUACCAGCAGCAAAUCGCUUGACAAAUUGCUUGCGAGAAAAGAAUACUCUUGGAGGGAUUCAGCUCUUACUUACAAGUAGACAAUGUAUAAAAUACAAGCAGCAUGGGGGCAUGAGAUUGAGCUUGUUGAAUGAAGAAGAUAGUAAGAAACUACUUGGUGAGAAGGUGUUUGGUGAGAAGGUGUUUAGUGAAGACGGUUUCCCUCGUCAACUUGAGGAACUGGGAGAGAAGAUUGCCAAGAAAUGUGAAGGUCUUCCUCUUAUGAUAGUCACAGUUGCAGAGCUCCUAUCAAAAGCCGACAAGACCCCAGAAUACUGGACUGAGGUAGCCUACAAACAACACAACUCACUUUUCGAGGAUGCAUAUAAUCAAAUAUCAGAGGUACUUUUCCCAAGUUAUGACUACUUACCCCAACAUUUAAAAAUGUUCUUCCUCUAUAUGGGAGCUUUCCCUCCUUAUGAUGAUCAGAGACCAUUCAAUAUUAAUUAUCUUUUGAGUGUUGAGGGAUUUCUUGAACUGAAUGAUGAAAAAAGUUUUGAAGGUUUCUGGGAAAAGCUUUCUCAGGAGUAUUAUCUUGUUCUCGACACAGAAAAUUCUUGGUAUUCGGGUAGAGUAUCGCGUGCAUUCUUGUUGGCAGCACUUAUGUAAGGUAGAAGCUAGUAGGAUCAAGUUUCUACAUGUCUUACGAGGUUGUGAUGAUGUUAUAAAAGACAGCGCCGCUUGUGUGCCCAUUAACAUUAUUCGGCUUCAAACAAGUGUAUGAUUUGAUAAAAAGUGAUUGUGCAUCCACUGCCCGUUCUCUCCUUUGUUAUGGUCCUUAUCACCCAUAUCCAAUCCAAUACAUGCCAUGGGUUUCAAGUUGCUCAGGGUACUAUAUGCUCUUGGAGUUCGAUUUUACCAUAUCCCAAUUGAAAUUUUGAAACUUGUUUGUUUGCGGUACCUUUCCCUAAGUGCAACGGGGAGCUCCCUCCUUCCAUAUCCAACCUUUUUCACCUUCAAUUCUUGAUUAUCAUCCACAUAUUAUUAAAAGCGUGGAGUUCGUCUUAUAUGCCUGUGCAAAUUUGGGACAUGCAAGAACUAGAGAUUAGAUGGAAGGACCUACCAACCCCUAAUACUGAGAUGCUACCUUGAACAAACUCACCACUUUAUGUGUGAGUGCAAAAGUUGUACAAGGAAGUUCUCAAAAGAAUUCCUAAUUUAAAGGAUUAAUUAGUGGAGUUGAAGCCUUAUGAUGAUGAUGAUGAUGAUGAAAGAAACCCAUCGAGUUGCUUGGGUUAUAUCUCCCAACUCCAGAAUUUGAGACUUAAUAUUGGGUUAAAUCCCGGAUAAAGUAUGAGUGUAAUACGAUUCCUCUUUCAAUGUUUCCAUCAAUCUCAAGGUGUUAACGUUGUCUGGUUUAGGGGGGUAUCCUUGGAAUUACAUGAAUGAAUUGGUUCGGCUCCAAAUCUCGAGAUUCUCAUUAUAUUAUGCAUUUCGAGGCCCAAAGUGGGACAUAACACCGGGGAGUUUUUUGAAACUUCUCGAACUUCAAAUUGAAGACACCGAUUUGGUGCGAUGGAGACCUCAACGUGGAAGCUUCCCGAUGCUUCGUAGACUAAGCAUGAGGCAUUGCUACAAAUUACAACAGCUCGAUUGGAUGUAUGAUCACUGGAUCACAAUUGUAUUAGUCGAGUGCAAUCCUUUAGCUGUCGCUUGUGCCAAGGAAUUAGAAGACAAGUUUUCAUUUGAACUUAUCGUCAAAUCUUCUUUUUGAGGUCAAGUGAGUCUGCAACUUGCCUAACAGGUUAGUGUUACUAUUUGCAAUAUAGUCUUAAUGUUUCUGUUAUGAUCACAGUGUUUGAGAUUGUCCAUCUAUCGAUUUUCAGGCAAAUGAGAGAGCCGAUCGAAGGGGUCAGACACCGCGUUAUCCCAUAAUUUCGAUUCACGUUGCAUUACCACAUAUUGUCGUAUGUAUUUAAGGAUUGUGAUUUGUAUUGGAUUUUGUUGAUGAUUAUGAAACCUGAGUGCUGAAUUGUGUUUGUAACCAAACUUGUUUUAAGUUGGAUUUGUGUGAAAACAUUAGUCCCUUCAGGAGGUUCGAGAAGUCUCUAAGAGGCCGCGAUGUUGAACAAUGGAUGAGCCGUCGCCGCUUACCUAAAGAUCUUCGAAGGUUCUAAAUUCUUUCUCUUUCUUUCUGAUGAUCAUUGUUGAUUAUCUGUAUGAGCGUUGUCUUCUUCGAAUAACUUGAAAAAUUGCCGAAAAAUUGUGACUCGGGCUAUUAAGUGAACAACGGAGAAGUAAUGAACAUCUUAUCUUUAACAGCUCCGAAUUUUUCAACUUUCAUGCCAAUAUACUAUUUAAUUUGUGGCUUCAUAUUUCAAAUUUAUGAGAUCCCUGAGUAGAAACUCAUCAAUAUGAACAUUAAUUUGUUGAGAUGAAGUCCCUGUUGUGUAUUUGGAUGAGCUUUUUCCAAUAGUCUUAUUGUCAUUUCCAUUUUUGAGAACCUUUGUUGUUGUUGUUGUCGUCGUCUUCUUUUUGUUAUUUUUAUUUCUUUUAAGGUUUAGUUUACAUUUUCUUUGAAAUUUAAAAGUUGUUUGCUGAAGAUUCAUGCCCUCUUAAACUUGACAAAGCCAAAAAAAAGAUUGGGGGCUGAUGACUACAGAAAAGCCAUGAUUUGUAUGAACAAAAUUAUUAUGCUAAUUAAGUUAUUUCUUCUCCAUUGUAAAUAUAUAACUGCAGGAGUUGUGAGGUUCAAAAUGUUGUUGAUUUAGCAAUGAAGUUAAUCUGAUUAAGAACUCUUGUUGCCAAAGAAGAAAAGAAUUGAUUAAUUAUCAUUCACAAAAUUUCUGAAGCAGUUAUCAAUUAACAUAGACCAAUCACCUUACUGGCGAGGAAUUGCAGCUCGAUGGUUCCACAAGUUGAUGAAACCUGAUUGCUAAAUUGUGUUUGUAACCAAAUUGUUGUAAGUUGGAUUUGUGUGAAAAUAGUAGCCCCUUGUUCAUGGAUUGUACUUUUUAUGAGUUAUGCAUGAUUUUCACUUUGCUUUGAUAUUGUGUGUAACCAGUUUGUGUUUGUUUUUAUAUAGCUUAAAAUUUUAAGAUUCUAGCAAUAUACUAAAUAAUUUCAGGCUUCAUAUUUUUAUUUUUAUUUGUUGCUUUCUGCAGGCUCUGGGACGCAGGUGUGCACUCGAUUCGAACCUCAGAUCAUUGGCCUUGGGCGUUAAAUAAGUGCUUAAAUACAAUUAAUUUACUUCAGGAGGUUCGAAAAGUCUUUAAGAGGCUGUGAUGUUGAACAAUCGUGAGCAUGCACUACACUGACUUAUACGUUCAGUGCAAUAAAUUGUAUGCGUUGUGCAAUAAAUUAACUUUGCAUGCGUUCAGAAGGUUCUCAUUUGAAUAUUAAAUCUAAUAAAGUGAUGUUAUUAACUCUGCAGAAGCCAUUGUGUAGAUGUUGCUAUUUGCUAACUCAUAUAAAUUUGUAUCAGUUAAUUUUAGAUCGAGUUAAAGAAAUCAAGAAGAAUCGUCUCUUCCACAUUCACUAUGUACAGCUGCAGCCAUGCCCAUCAACAGAGGAUUUUAAGAAAGUUAACCUGCAGUCUUUCACAGCCACGGCCUCUUCGCUACUCGCCUUAACUACUUAACUAUAUACUCCCUCCGUCCGCGAUAUCGUUUUCACAUUGUAGACGGUGCGGGUUUUAAGAAAAGUGGUGGAUAUGUAGUGAGUGGAGUUUGAGUCCCACUAUUGUUGUGAGUGGAAGUUUGUGGACUAUACUUCUAUAAAUGGAAGUGGAAACGAUAUCGCUGACGGACCGAAAUGGCAAAUGUGGAAACGAUAUUGCGGACGGAGGGAGUAUAUACUAUAGAAUUUAACUACUUAACUAGAUAAAUGAAAAUAAUAAUAACUCACUAUUAUAUAAUUAAUCACCGCACAUGAGGCGCUAAAAUAAAAGCACUUCUUAAAAUAUAAAAUAUGAACUAUUUUCAGAUCUUAGAUCAUCAAGAUCUAAGGGUGAUUCAUAUUUGAUGUAUGAAUUCAUGGUCGUGAUCAGUUCAAAUCAUAUGUCUCUGUUAAUUUAUUUGCUAUCACCAAGGGGCUAUCACCAAGAAGGGGAGAGUUUCUGAUUCUUCUAUCAAGCACAAGCUCCAUCGUAUCAUAAUCAAUGGCAUGUCCUCGGAUUUCCAAAACUCAGCACGCCAUGAUGAUAUGCAGGGCCCAGGUCUAGACACUUCUUCGCCUGUGGAGUUCCUGAAUAAAGUGAAGUAUGCUCAGUCUGGAGGACAGAUUCUGCAAAACUUUGUGAUCAACUCCUCUAACUCUACCGAUGCAGCCCAUGCUAUGUCGGUUGUGGCCUCUUCAAAAAUGAAGAAAAAAUGGGGCGAUAUGUUGGACGAUGAAGAUGACGAUGUUUUAGACGAGGACGACCCUCUUAAAAUGUUCUCUUAGUCUUGGUUUCUUUUUUGGUUACCCGGGGUUUCUUGCGGGUGCUUUUGCUUGUUUCCUUAUGUCUCUGGUCUCUCUUUUUUUUCUUUUCUUUUUAAUAAAAUUUCUAUUUCAGCAGAUCAGUUCAAAUCAUAGGUAGCAAAAUUUUUAAUUUUUGCAAUUCAGACAUUUACACGGAAAAUUCAUACAUUUAAAUAUAAUUUCUCUAAGAUUAAAUCUCAACCGUUAGAUUAUGGAUAGAUCAAUGGUGUAAAUCUAUUCCUAUUUUAUACUCCUUUAAAAGUUGUUUUCAUCAUUGCCCUCCCCUUAAGGCACAUAUCAUAUAUACACUAAGUUGUAUAUAAAUAUUAUCAUACUUUAAUAUGUAUGUGUUUGAAAUUUGGUAUGACCGCUAGGUUUUUUAAAAAAGCCAACACAAUUUCUAUAAAUUAAUAACUUUGGGAUCUAAAAAGUUUUUUUUUUUUUUUUUUUUAGAUACUAAAUUAAAAUCUUAAAAUUNCAGAGGAAUCGUCCCGCCAGAGGAUUCCUACCGCCAGAGGAAUCCUCCCGCCAGAGGAAUCCUCCCGCCAGCGGAAUCCUUCCGCCAGAGGAAUCCUCCCGCCAGAGGAAUCUUGGUUUUCCAGAGCAGAGGAGCGGACGUGCAGAGCAGAGCGUGCGGAGCUGGUUUUCUCGCUAGCGUUAUUUUAGUCUUGCUGAUCAAGUUUCUUUAGUUUCCUUGUUUUUACGUUUUAUGUCCUUCUUUAAAUUAGGGUUUUAUUUUGCCUAUAUAUGGCGGCUGUAUGGAACAUUUGAAAAUUAACUUUGAUGAUAUAUGAAAUUUGUGAGAUUAUUCUCUCUUGAGAACUUCGAGUUCUUCCUGGAUUUUGCCCAAGCAAAUCCAACCUAUCGGCGUAUCGGCGGGUUCAUCAUCCCUCGUCGUAUGUCAUUCACCGUCCCCGAGUUACUGUAUCAACUGCACGUUGGGGUUUAGGGAUUCGUUCGCCUAAAUCACUUCCGUCGGGUUUAGAUCCAGGGGUUUUGGGAUUUCCAUCUUCUCAUUCCACCUAUCGACGAAUCGACGAGUUCAUCAUCCCUCGCCGUGUGUCAUUCAGCGUCUCCGAGUUACUGUAUCAAUCGUGCGUUGGGGUUUAGGGAUCCGUUCUCUAGAUCAUUUCGUAGAUUAGAUACAGGGGUUUUGAGAUAUUCCACACUCUAUCUGUCUUUUAAUUUCCGUUUAUUUCAGAUCAGAUCGUUUAAAGAUCUCAUCGAUCUUUUGUUCAUAUCAGUCGGGCCCAACGCGAUGAAGUUUAAUCUACCCACAUAAUUAUGAUUGACAGAAAAAUUUACCAAGAUUAAGUAUAAAGCUCCAAAAAAGCAUAUAUAUGCAAUGCAUAUAUAUUUACAAAAUUUCACAUUUCGUUAUUACUUAAUAAAAUAAAAGUAAUAGAUUUAAAUAUCAUUAUAUUAUUAAUAAAAUAUUAAAUUUGCAACACAUACAAUAUUUCCCGUGCAUCGCAUAGGAAGUGUACUAGUAAUAAUAAUAAUACUCCCUCCGUCCCCGUCAUAAGUGAAACGUUUCUUUUCGGCACGAGAUUUAAUGAGUCAGUGUUUAGGGGUAUAAGAGUGUUUUUAGUUUUAUACUUAAGUGAGAAUAUAAUAAUUAAUAAUUUUGAAUUAAAUUUAAAUUCAAACUUUAAUUUAUUACUUACAUUUAUUUUCAAAUUUUAUUUUCUAUUUUAUUUAAUAAUUUUUUUUUACAUACCCACUUCUCAAAGGAAUGUUUUAUUUAAUAAUAAUAAUAAUAAUAAUAAUACACAAUGCAAUAGACGUACUAAACAAAAAUUAUAAUUUGUAUUAUAAAGAGUACAAUAAUAUAGUAUUAAAUAUAUAUAUAUAGGUAACUAGGUAAGAAUUCUGAGAAAUUAAAAAAAAAAUUGCUUAAGAAAAGUUAAAAAUUAAAAAUCAUGUAAAAAUUGCACUAGUUUCCUUACUUUUCUUGUUCAUGACGUCGUAGUAAGGGGGCCCAUCUUAUCUUAAUUAUCAGUGCUGCUACUAUUCUUGAUUUUUGAAGCAGCUCUCAUAAUUUUCAACUGGUUGAUUGCUCAAUCUUCAUAAUUUCUUGCUACUAUUCUUCCACACAAUUGCCUUCAAAAUCAUCAAUAGAUCCAUUUUACCAUUACAUUAUACACAUCUUUUCAAAUCAUUUACUAAAGUUCUUGAAUGUGGCUUUGAAUGUUUCUGAAAUUGUAUCAAAAGCAGCUGCCGCCGCCGUCGAGAGGUAAGCAGAGAGCUGAGAUCUAUCAUUUCUUUCAUCUGCGUUUGCUUAUUAUAAUUCCUUCUUCUUCUGCGUUUCUUUCUUAGGCGACUGAAUUUUAUUCUGGGCUAAUUGCAGUUUAGUUCAAGCUUCAUUUUGGAGGAAAAUUGCAGACCUAAGCAAUUUCAUUUCAACAAUAUAUCGUAUCUCAGCUGAUAAUUUGGGUAUGGCGGCUUAUGGUGCAGCCACUUCUCUCAAGAAUACGAUUCUGCGUAUUCUACAAUCGUCUCGCAUUUCUCUAGUUUCCCACUCUCCGCAAAUCUUGCAACCUGCCUACGACCAGAUGGAUCGAUUGCAGAGAAUUCUGCUCCAAUUGGACGAGACCAGCUGCAGCAAGAUCAGGACGAAGGUGAAUGCUGCGGAUGAACUCAUAAAAGAGGCAGUUUGGGAAUUCGAAGAUUUACUCGAAUCCCAUAUCUUACCUCAGAUUCUUCCACAACUCGAAAGCGAGAGACACAACUUGUCAUUCUCUGUAGAUCUGCAGAGUCUGCAACACCAUGUUGAUUGCUUCGUCGAGAUGGUGAAGAUGAUGGAGGUGGAGUACUUCAUUGAAAUGGAGAAUAUGGCUGAAGAAGAAGGCGAGCCUAUUUCCUCAAGAAUCGAUUUUGGUGGAAUCAAGUCAAAGAUGGUUGGAUUAUCUUAUGAAUUUCAAAGAGCCAGAGAUAACCUUCUUGAAGAUAAACACUAUUCGAUUAUUGGGAUGGCGGGCGUUGGAAAGACAACUCUUGCUAAGCAUAUUUUUGAAGAUCCAUCAAUUCGGAGCCAUUUUGAGUUUCGAGCAUGGGUCAAAGUUGGCAGAAAAUGCGCGCCCAAUGAACUAUUACGUUGCGUUCUAGCUCAAGUGGAUCCCAACACUUACCGAAUGCUUGCUCAAGGAGAUGAUGAUGAUGAGGAAUUAGUUGGUCUAUUGAAAGAAAAAUUGCAGGGUAAGAAAUGUCUCAUCGUGUUGGAUGAUGUUUGGGAGACACAAGCAAUAAGUCGCAUGAUAAAUUGCUUGAAAGAAGGGAAUAUUCGUGGAGGGAUUGGAUACUUAGUUACAAGUAGACAAUGUAUAACAUUCGCGCAGCAUAGGGGCAUAAGACUGCAGUUGUUGAAUGAAGAAGAAAGUAAGAAAUUACUUGGUGAGAAGGUGUUUAGUGAAGACGGUUUCCCUCCUCAACUUGAGGAACUGGGAGAGAAGAUUGCUGAGAAAUGUGAAGGUCUUCCUCUUAUGAUAGUCACAGUUGCAGAGCUCCUAUCGAAAGCCGACAAGACCCCAGAAUACUGGACUAAGGUACUCAAACAAUAUAGUUCAGUAUUCGUGGAGGCAUAUAAUCAAAUAUCAGAGGUACUUUUUCCAAGUUAUGACUACUUACCCCAACAUUUAAAAAUGUUUUUCCUCUAUAUGGGAGCUUUCCGUCCAUAUGUUGAUCAGAGUCCAUUUGCGAUCAAUUUUCUGUUGAGUGCUGAGGGCUUUCUUGAACUGAAUGUUGAAAAGAGUUUUGAAGGUUUCUGGGAAAAGCUUUCUAAGUCGUAUCAUCUUGUUCUCGACACAGAAAAUUCUUGGUAUUUGGAGAGACGGUAUCGCGUGCAUUCUUGUUGGCAGCACUUAUGUAAGGUAGAAGCUAGUAGGAUCAAGUUUCUACAUGUCUUACGAGAUUGUGAUGAUGUGACAAACGACCAGCGUCGCUUGUGUGCCCAUUACAACAAUUUAUUUGCCUUCCAACAAGUGUAUGAUUCGAUAAAAAGUGAUUGUGCAUCCAUUGUCCGUUCUCUCCUAUGUCAUGGUCCUUAUCACCCGUAUCCAAUCCCAAUACAUGCCAUGGGUUUCAAGUUGCUUAGAGUACUAUGUGCUCUUAGAGUUCGAUUUUACCAUAUCCCAACUGAAAUUUUGAAACUUGUUUGUCUGCGGUACCUUGCCCUAACUUGCAACGGGGAGCUCUCUCCUUCCAUAUCCAACCUUUUUCACCUUCAAUUCUUGAUUAUCAGGCCACAUAUGUACAUUAAAAAGCGUGGAGUUCAGUUUUAUAUGCCUGUGCAAAUUUGGGACAUGCAAGAACUAGAGCAUCUUGAGAUAAUUGGAAGGGACCUACCAACCCCUAAUACUGAUGAUGCUACCUUGAACAAACUCAGCGGACUUUAUGGUGUGAGUGCAAACAGUUGUACAAUGGAAGUUCUCAAAAGAAUUCAUAAUUUAAAGAAUUUAGGAAUUCAAGUGGAGUUGAAGCCUUAUGAUGAUGAUGAUGAUGAAAGAAACCCAUCGAGUUGCUUGGGUUAUAUCUCCCAACUCCAGAAUUUGGUCUCACUUGAAUAUUGGGUUAGGAAUCCCGAGAUAAAGUAUGAGUGUAAUACGAUUCCUCUUUCAAUGUUUCCAUCAAGUCUCAAGGUGUUAUGGUUGUUUGGGUUAGGGGGAUAUCCUUGGAAUUACAUGAAUGACAUUGGUUCGCUGCUACCAAAUCUCGAGAUUCUCAUAUUAAAACACUAUGCAUUUCGAGGCCCCGAGUGGGACAUAACACCAGGGAGUUUUUUGAAACUUAUUGAACUUCGAAUUGAAGACACCGAUUUGGUGCGAUGGAGACCUCAACGUGGAAGCUUCCCGAUGCUUCGUAGACUAAGCAUGUGGGAUUGCUACAAAUUACAACAGCUCGAUUGGCCGUAUGAUCACUCUUGGAUAGAGAUCAUGGGUUUAGUCAACUGCAAUCCUUUAGUUGUCGCUUGUGCCAAUGAAUUAAAAGACAAGUAUUCCUUUCAACUUGGAGUCAAAUCUUCAUUUUGAGGUCAAGUGAGUAUGCAACUUGCCAAACUGCAGGUUAGUGUUACUACUUUGCAAUAUUACGUCUUAAUGUUUCUAUUAUAGUCACAGUGUUUGAGAUUGUCAUCUAUCGAUUUUCAGGCAAAUGAAAGAGCCGAUGGAGAGUUGCUUCUCGAGGCCUGAUUUUGAAGACGUGGCAGGUCUCUAUGCAUAUAUCUUAAAGAGUUCCCUUGUUCAGGGCUCCAUAAGGUAACUUCUUUAUAAUGCAUAACCUAUAAAUGAAUCGAGUAACUUGAAAGUAUUGGGCUCGUUAGCUUGCAAAUACGUCCGUGUAUAGCAUUGUGAGCAUAUAUAUUUGGUGAUGAGCUCGGUUGCGAGGGCACAUCAUAUAUUGCUACUCGUUGCCUUGUUUGCGUUGUAGGUAUGAAUCACCUUACUGGCGAGGAAUUGCAGCUCGAUGGUUCCAACUCGCGUGGAGACGCAGAAAGAAGGAAACGAAUCGAGCUGACUCAAUUUGUGUAGAUUCGACAAGUUGAUGAAACCUGAUUGCUGAAUUGUGUUUGUAACCAAAUUGUUGUAAGUUGGAUUUGUGUGAAAACAUUAGUCCCUUGUUCAUGGAUUGUACUUUUUAUGAGUUAUGCAUGAUUUUCACUUUGCUUUGAUAUUGUGUGUAACCAGUUUGUGUUUGUUUUUAUAUAGCUUAAAAUUUUAAGAAUAUUCUAGCAAUAUACUAAAUAAUUUCAGGCUUCAUAUUUUUAUUUUUAUUUGUUGCUUUCUGCAGGCUCUGGUACGCAGGUGUGCACUCGACUCGAACCUCAGAUCAUUGGCCUUGGGCGUUAAAUAUGUGCGUAAAUACAAUUUAUUUACUUCAGGAGGUUCGAAAAGUCUUUAAGAGGCUGUGAUGUCGAACAAUCGUGAGCAUGCACUACACUGACUUAUACGUUCAGUGCAAUAAAUUGUAUGCGUUGUGCAAUAANNNNNNNNNNNNNNNNNNNNNNNNNNNNNNNNNNNNNNNNNNNNNNNNNNNNNNNNNNNNNNNNNNNNNNNNNNNNNNNNNNNNNNNNNNNNNNNNNNNNNNNNNNNNNNNNNNNNNNNNNNNNNNNNNNNNNNNNNNNNNNNNNNNNNNNNNNNNNNNNNNNNNNNNNNNNNNNNNNNNNNNNNNNNNNNNNNNNNNNNNNNNNNNNNNNNNNNNNNNNNNNNNNNNNNNNNNNNNNNNNNNNNNNNNNNNNNNNNNNNNNNNNNNNNNNNNNNNNNNNNNNNNNNNNNNNNNNNNNNNNNNNNNNNNNNNNNNNNNNNNNNNNNNNNNNNNNNNNNNNNNNNNNNNNNNNNNNNNNNNNNNNNNNNNNNNNNNNNNNNNNNNNNNNNNNNNNNNNNNNNNNNNNNNNNNNNNNNNNNNNNNNNNNNNNNNNNNNNNNNNNNNNNNNNNNNNNNNNNNNNNNNNNNNNNNNNNNNNNNNNNNNNNNNNNNNNNNNNNNNNNNNNNNNNNNNNNNNNNNNNNNNNNNNNNNNNNNNNNNNNNNNNNNNNNNNNNNNNNNNNNNNNNNNNNNNNNNNNNNNNNNNNNNNNNNNNNNNNNNNNNNNNNNNNNNNNNNNNNNNNNCACGUUUUAAUGAUCCUAUUAUAAUCACAGUGUUUGAGAUUGUCCAUCGACCGAUUUUCAGGCAAACGAGAGAGCCGAUCAAAGGGAUCAGAUGUCGUGUUAUCCCGUAAUUUCGUUUGUUGUAUUACCACAUUGUUGUAUGAAUUUAUGGAUUGUGAAACCUUGAGUGCUGAAUUGUGUUUGUAACCAAAAUUGUUGUAAGUUGGAUUUGUGUGAAAACUGUUUAUGUGUAUAUUGCUUAAAAUUUCAAGAUUCUGGCAAUAUACUAAUUAAUUUAUGGCUUCAUAUUUAAAAUUCAUGAAAUCCCUGUUGAGUAUUUGGAUGACGCUCAACAUCGUCUGAAACGCCAUCACUAUUCCCACAUGCUUUGCAUCGAGAUCUGGCAUUGAGAGCUGUUGGCUUUUGAUCCCAUUUGCCCAUUCCAACAUUAGUUUUCUCAUAUCCCAUAAAUAAUGAUUUUGAAUUAAAUUUAAAUUCAAACUUUAAUUUAUUACUUACAUUUAGUUUUAAAAUUUUAUUUUCUAUUUUGUUUCAUAUUUUUUUUUACAUACCCACUAUUCAAAGGAAUGUUUUAUUUAAUAAUAAUAAUAAUAAUACUAAUACACAAUGCAAUAAACGUAGUAAAUAAAAAUUUAUAAUUUGUAUUUUAAAGAGUACAAUAAUAGUAUUAAAUAUAUAUGUAGGUAAGAAUCCUGAGAAUUAAAAAAAAAAUGCUUAAGAAAAGUUAAAAAUUAAAAAUCAUGAAAAAUUGCACUACUUUCCGAUAGUAGUAGGGGGGUCCAUCUUAUCUUAAUUACAUUAUACACAGCUUUUCAAAUCAUUUACUAAAGUUCUUGAAUGUGGUAUUGAAUGUUUCUGAAUUUGUAUCAAAACCAGCUGCCGCCACCGUUGACUUGCGCCAACUCCUCCAAGAGGUAAGCAGAGAGCUGAGAUCUAUCAUUUGUUUCAUCUCUAUUUGCUUAUUAUAAUUCCUUCUUCUUCUCCAAUUCUUUGUUAGGCGACUGAAUUGCAGUUGACUUUAAGCUUCAUUUUGGAGGAAAAUAGCUGAGCUAAAUCGAAUUCUGAGCUGAUAAUUUGGGUAUGGCGGCUUUUGGUGCGGCGGCUUCUCUCAAGAAUACGAUUCAGCGUAUUCUACAAUCGUCUCGCAUUUCUCUCGUUUCCCACUCUCCACAAAUCUUACAACCUGCCUACGACGAGAUGGAUCGCUUGCAGAAAGUUCUGCUAAAAUUGGACGAGACCAGCUGCAGCAAGAUCAGGACGGAGGUGAAUGCUUUGGAUGAACUCAUAAAAGAGGCAGUUUGGGAAUUCGAAGAUUUACUCGAAUCCCAUAUCUUACCUCAGAUUCUUCCACAACUCGAAAGCGAGAGACACAACUUGUCAUUCUCUGUAGAUCUGCAGAGUCUGCAACACCAUGUUGAUUGCUUCGUCGAGAUGGUGAAGAUGAUGGAGGAAGAGUACACUAAUGAAAUGGAGAAUAUGGCUGAAGAAGAAGGCGAGCCUAUUUCCUCAAGAAUUGAUUUUGGUGGAAUCAACUCAAAGAUGGUUGGAUUAUCUUAUGCAUUUCAAAAAGCCAGAGAUAAUCUUCUUGAAGGUAAAGAUUAUUCUAUUAUUGGGAUGGCGGGAGUUGGAAAGACAACUCUUGCUAAACGUAUAUUUGAAGAUCCAUCAAUUCGGAGCCAUUUUGAGUUUCGAGCAUGGGUCAAAGUGGGCAGAAAAUGCGAACCCAAUGAACUAUUACGCUGCGUUCUAGCUCAAGUGGAUCCCAACGCUUACCGAAUGCUUGCCCAAGGAGAUGAUGAUGAUGAGGAAUUAGUUGGACUAUUGAAAGAAAAAUUGCAGGAUAAGAAAUGCCUCAUCGUGUUGGAUGAUGUUUGGGAGGCACAAGCAAUAAAUCGCUUGAUAAAUUGCUUGCGAGAAAAGAAUACUCUUGGAGGGAUUCAGUUCUUACUUACAAGUAGACAACGUAUAACAUACAAGCAGCAUGGGGGCAUGAGAUUGAACUUGUUGAAUGAAGAAGAUAGUAAGAAACUACUUGGUGAGAAGGUGUUUGGUGUGAAGGUGUUUAGUGAAGACGGUUUCCCUCCUCAACUUGAGAAACUGGGAGAGAAGAUUGCUGAGAAAUGUGAAGGUCUUCCUCUUAUGAUAGUCACAGUUGCAGAGCUCCUAUCAAAAGCCGACAAGACCCCAGAAUACUGGACUGAGGUAGCCUACAAACAACACAACUCACUUUUCAAGGAUGCAUAUAAUCAAAUAUCAGAGGUACUUUUCCCAAGUUAUGACUACUUACCCCAACAUUUAAAAAUGUUCUUCCUCUAUAUGGGAGCUUUCCCUCCUUAUGCUGAUCAGAGUCCAUUCCAUAUUAAUAAUCUUUUGGGUGUUGAGGGAUUUCUUGAACUGAAUGAUGAAAAAAGUUUUGAAGGUUUCUGGGAAAAGCUUUCUCAGGGGUAUUAUCUUGUUCUCGACACAGAAAAUUCUUGGUAUUCGAGUAGACGGUAUCGCGUGCAUUCUUGUUGGCAGCACUUAUGUAAGGUAGAAGCUAGUAGGAUCAAGUUUCUACAUGUCUUACGAGGUUGUGAUGAUGUAAUAAAAGACCAACGUCGCUUGUGUGCCCAUUACAACAAUUUAUUUGGCUUCAAACAAGUGUAUGAUUCGAUAAAAAGUGAUUGUGCAUCCACUGCCCGUUCUCUCCUUUGUGUUGGUCCUUAUCACCCU